rnacentral:rRNA from 1 species
GAGUUUGAUCAUGGCUCAGAUUGAACGCUGGCGGCAGGCCUAACACAUGCAAGUCGAACGGUAACAGGAAACAGCUUGCUGUUUCGCUGACGAGUGGCGGACGGGUGAGUAAUGUCUGGGAAACUGCCUGAUGGAGGGGGAUAACUACUGGAAACGGUAGCUAAUACCGCAUAACGUCGCAAGACCAAAGAGGGGGACCUUCGGGCCUCUUGCCAUCGGAUGUGCCCAGAUGGGAUUAGCUUGUUGGUGGGGUAACGGCUCACCAAGGCGACGAUCCCUAGCUGGUCUGAGAGGAUGACCAGCCACACUGGAACUGAGACACGGUCCAGACUCCUACGGGAGGCAGCAGUGGGGAAUAUUGCACAAUGGGCGCAAGCCUGAUGCAGCCAUGCCGCGUGUAUGAAGAAGGCCUUCGGGUUGUAAAGUACUUUCAGCGGGGAGGAAGGGAGUAAAGUUAAUACCUUUGCUCAUUGACGUUACCCGCAGAAGAAGCACCGGCUAACUCCGUGCCAGCAGCCGCGGUAAUACGGAGGGUGCAAGCGUUAAUCGGAAUUACUGGGCGUAAAGCGCACGCAGGCGGUUUGUUAAGUCAGAUGUGAAAUCCCCGGGCUCAACCUGGGAACUGCAUCUGAUACUGGCAAGCUUGAGUCUCGUAGAGGGGGGUAGAAUUCCAGGUGUAGCGGUGAAAUGCGUAGAGAUCUGGAGGAAUACCGGUGGCGAAGGCGGCCCCCUGGACGAAGACUGACGCUCAGGUGCGAAAGCGUGGGGAGCAAACAGGAUUAGAUACCCUGGUAGUCCACGCCGUAAACGAUGUCGACUUGGAGGUUGUGCCCUUGAGGCGUGGCUUCCGGAGCUAACGCGUUAAGUCGACCGCCUGGGGAGUACGGCCGCAAGGUUAAAACUCAAAUGAAUUGACGGGGGCCCGCACAAGCGGUGGAGCAUGUGGUUUAAUUCGAUGCAACGCGAAGAACCUUACCUGGUCUUGACAUCCACGGAAGUUUUCAGAGAUGAGAAUGUGCCUUCGGGAACCGUGAGACAGGUGCUGCAUGGCUGUCGUCAGCUCGUGUUGUGAAAUGUUGGGUUAAGUCCCGCAACGAGCGCAACCCUUAUCCUUUGUUGCCAGCGGUCCGGCCGGGAACUCAAAGGAGACUGCCAGUGAUAAACUGGAGGAAGGUGGGGAUGACGUCAAGUCAUCAUGGCCCUUACGACCAGGGCUACACACGUGCUACAAUGGCGCAUACAAAGAGAAGCGACCUCGCGAGAGCAAGCGGACCUCAUAAAGUGCGUCGUAGUCCGGAUUGGAGUCUGCAACUCGACUCCAUGAAGUCGGAAUCGCUAGUAAUCGUGGAUCAGAAUGCCACGGUGAAUACGUUCCCGGGCCUUGUACACACCGCCCGUCACACCAUGGGAGUGGGUUGCAAAAGAAGUAGGUAGCUUAACCUUCGGGAGGGCGCUUACCACUUUGUGAUUCAUGACUGGGGUGAAGUCGUAACAAGGUAACCGUAGGGGAACCUGCGGUUGGAUC